AGCUGCCUGGAAAGCAGCGACGGGACGCUUUCGGACCUGGAGGUGAUCUGGAGUGCUGAUCCGGGCGAAAAGAACAUCCGGGCCGGGUCAGCAACAGGCGGGCUGCCAGACCCGCAUGUCAGUGACCUAGCUGCAAGGUGAAGAAGUACUGCAGAUGAUCCAUAUCCCUCUAUUAUACAUCAGCAUGUAGAAUGACGUGGAGAUAUAACAGAUGAGGCCAAGAAUUCUUGGAUAAGUACAACAUCAGGGAAAGGCCCACUUCGAGCAGGCCUCAACGAGGUUAGCAGCAGCAGCAGGCCGGUCGAUCGAAAAACGAAAGGCCCGCUCUCGUCAAAUUGGCCCGUACGGACGACGUGCGCCGCCCGUAGGCCGUCACAGCAUACGAGGCUGGCGAGCAGAAUAGCCCGUAGGUGAGGGGCCCGGCCGAGCCGAACCGAAUACUGCUGGUGGCUGGUGCUGGGCCGCGGGAGAAGCUAGUCGCGCGCCGUGAUGACGUACUGAGUCUACAAAGCGGUUCGUGUACACGCCGUGUUAUAAACACAGUGACCAGCUGUGUCUAUUUAAUCACCUGUUUAUCAUAUUUAAUUAUCAUUUAAUCCGUUUAAAUAGCUGUUUAGUUCAAAUAAAUACUCCCUCUGUCCAAAAAAUAAGUCAUUCUAGAAUUCAAAUUUUGUCCCCAAAACAAGUCAUAAAUUAGUGUCAAGUAUGGCUAAUAAAUAGGAGCAGUUACUUUCUUAAUU